rnacentral:rRNA from 1 species
AGUGAACGCUGGCGGUAGGCCUAACACAUGCAAGUCGAACGGAAGCACAGGAGAGCUUGCUCUCUGGGUGGCGAGUGGCGGACGGGUGAGGAAUAAAUCGGAAUCUACUCUGUCGUGGGGGAUAACGUAGGGAAACUUACGCUAAUACCGCAUACGACCUACGGGUGAAAGCAGGGGAUCUUGGGACCUUGCGCGAUUGAAUGAGCCGAUGUCGGAUUUGCUAGUUGGCGGGGUAAAGGCCAACCAAGGCGACGAGCCGUAGCUGGUCUGAGAGGAGGCGCAUCCACACUGGAACUGAGACACGGUCCAUACUCCUACGGGAGGCAGCAGUGGAGAAUAUUGGACAACGGGCGAAAGCCUGAUCCAGCCAUACCGCGUGGGUGAAGAAGGUCUUCGGGUUGUAUAGCCCUUUUGUUGAGAAACCAAUCCAGCUGCCCAAUACCCGGUUGGGAUGACGGUACCCAAAGAAUAAGCACCGGCUAACUUCGUGCCAGCCGCCGCCGUAA